AGAGUUUGAUCCUGGCUCAGAACGUACGCUGGCGGCACGCCUAACACAUGCAAGUCGAACGCAGUAGCAAUACUGAGUGGCAAACGGGUGAGUAUAAUGUGGGAAUCUGCCUUUUGGUUCGGAAUAACACGGGGAAACUUGUGCUAAUACCGAAUAAGCCCUUACGGGGAAAGUUUUAAUGCCGAAAGAUGAGCCCGCACUUGAUUAGCUAGUUGGUAAGGUAAAAGCUUACCAAGGCAAUGAUCAAUAGCUGUUCUUAGAGGAAGACCAGCCACAUUGGGACUGAGACACGGCCCAGACUCCUACGGGAGGCAGCAGUGGGGAAUCUUGCACAAUGGGGGAAACCCUGAUGCAGCGAUGCCGCGUGAGUGAAGAAGGCCUUUGGGUUGUAAAACUCUUUCGUCGGGGAAGAAAAUGACUGUACCCGAAUAAGAAGGUCCGGCUAACUUCGUGCCAGCAGCCGCGGUAAUACGAAGGGACCUAGCGUAGUUCGGAAUUACUGGGCUUAAAGAGCUCGUAGGUGGUUAAAAAAGUUGAUGGUGAAAUCCCAAGGCUCAACCUUGGAACUGCCGUCAAAACUUUUUAGCUAGAGUGUGAUAGAGGUAAGUGGAAUUUCUAGUGUAGAGGUGAAAUUCGUAGAUAUUAGAAAGAACACCAAAUGCGAAGGCAACUUACUGGGUCACUACUGACACUGAGGAGCGAAAGCAUGGGUAGCGAAGAGGAUUAGAUACCCUCGUAGUCCAUGCCGUAAACGAUGUGUGCUAGACGUUGGAAAUAUAUUUUUCAGUGUCGCAGCGAAAGCAUUAAGCACACCGCCUGGGGAGUACGACCGCAAGGUUAAAACUCAAAUGAAUUGACGGGGACCCGCACAAGCAGUGGAGCAUGUGGUUUAAUUCGAAGAUACGCGCAGAACCUUACCAACACUUGACAUG
rnacentral:rRNA from 1 species